UACGGAGGGUGCGAGCGUUAAUCGGAAUUACUGGGCGUAAAGCGAACGCAGGCGGUUGGUUAAGCAAGAUGUGAAAUCCCCGGGCUUAACCCGGGAAUUGCAUCUGAAACUGGGCAACUAGAGUGUUGGAGAGGGGGGUAGAAUUCCACGUGUAGCGGUGAAAUGCGUAGAGAUGUGGAGGAAUACCGGUGGCGAAGGCGGCCCCCUGGACUAACACUGACGCUCAUGUGCGAAAGCGUGGGGAGCAAACAGG
rnacentral:rRNA from 1 species